rnacentral:misc_RNA from 1 species
UCCGAGUUGUCCCCGGCAGUCCCCUUAGAGUCCCCGGCAUUACCCGCUGGCAACUAAGGGCAGGGGUUGCGCUCGUUGCGGCACUUAAGCCAACACCUCACGGCACGAGCUGACGACAGCCAUGCAGCACCUGUGCUAGCCCCCGAAGGACACGGGCUUUCACCCGCUUUAACUAGCAUGUCAAGCCCAGGUAAGGUGGGGAUGACGUAAGAGAGUACGUCC